rnacentral:lncRNA from 1 species
CCUUUUAGAAAACGUGGAGUUAUUCCUUUGGCCACAUACAUGUGAAUCUACAAGAAAGGUGAUAUUGUAGACAUCAAGGGUAUGGGUACUAUUCAAAAAUUUCAAACAGGAGUGUCCCACAAUGUUACUCUGGCAAAACUGGAAGAGUCUAUCAACAGUGUUACCCAUGUUACCCAGCAUGCUGUUGACAUUGUUGUAAACAAC